AGCAGCCGCGGUAAUUCCAGCUCCAAUAGCGUAUAUUAAAGUUGUUGCAGUUAAAAAGCUCGUAGUUGAAUUUCGGGAUCAAUAUGUUGGUCGUGCCUUGGUACGUACUGGCAUUAUUGGUUUCUACCUUCUGAAGAACCUCGAUGUCAUUAAUUUGGUGUCUUGGGGAAUCAGGACUGUUACUUUGAAAAAUUAGAGUGUUUAAAGCAGGCUCGCGCUUGAAUACAUUAGCAUGGAAUAAUGAAAUAGGACGUUUGAUUCUAUUUUGUUGGUUUCUAGGAUCGACGUAAUGAUUAAUAGGGAUAGUUGGGGGCAUUAGUAUUCAAUUGUCAGAGGUGAAAUUCUUGGAUUUAUUGAAGACUAACUACUGCGAAAGCAUUUGCCAAGGAUGUUUUCAUUAAUCAAGAACGAAAGUUAGGGGAUCGAAGACGAUCAGAUACCGCCCUAGUUCUAACCAUAAACUAUGCCAACUAGCAAUUUGCUUAUGUAUGUUUUAUGACUAAGUGAGAGGACCG
rnacentral:rRNA from 1 species